CGUCAGGAAGCCGUCGUUGUCGGCAAGGUACAGCGUGAAGAUGGCACGCAAUUCGUCUUCGCUCAGUUCGCCGUCAGUAACGUGCUUCCCCAGGUUCUUAGCCGCUUUCAGGUCCGGCCCGGUGCUGAUCGGGU
rnacentral:rRNA from 1 species